rnacentral:lncRNA from 1 species
CCCCGUCCUCUUCUGCUUCAUUGCCAAACACCACCGCAGGUACGAAUGAGGUCAAUCGGCGGCGAGGUUCAGGCAAGUUUUCCCUGUAAUUCCAGCGAGCAGUUCGGCUAGCGCGGCCAUGCGGUUCGGCCAGCCCAUGGCUUCAGUUCGUCGGUGCGCUGCCGCGGGUGGGGUCAUCCUCUCCUACUCCGGCCGAGAUCCAUGGCCACUGAGCCCCCUUCCUUCGCUCCCAUGUAUGUGCAACAGUUGAGCACCCACCAACCCCAAUAUGUGUGUCCUCCAUUGCUCUGUCCUCGCCGACAUGUUCCCACGAACAGGGAGUUAGCUUAGUUGUUUAUUGUCGUCCUCUUCUGUUAUUGCCACUGAACCUCCACGAGUAGGAGUUCAGUUAACUCCGUAGUUCUAUUUUUGUUUAACUUGUGCCAUGCAGUUCGCUAUGUAAAAUUGCAGUGAAUUUUUUGUACUUUUAUUUCUGCUCAUUUUACAGAGAUGUUCUAAUUUGUUGCAGAUUUUGGUUGCAAGUGUAAAGAGAAAAAAGUGAUUCAGUGUGGUACAUGAUGAUAUGUAGUUUUAGCACCGCGGUCACGCAGGCCACGGAGUGUGCGUCACCAUCCGUGGGCGUGUGCAGUGCGGCGCGUGGGUGCUUGCAGUACGCCCGCCUAUUCAACUGAUUUUUUUGAUCUAGCUAGUGUUGAUUUUGUGUGUAUGUAUGUGUGUGGCUGUGUAAAACAAAUGGGUGAAUGUAUUAUCUCCAUGAGCAUCAUCAGCGGCCAUAGACAGUGGCGCAAAACAUAAAGUGUGCAUGUAGUUUGGUUAGCUUGUUCUUGCAGUACUUUUUUUUUGUGAGGUUCACUUGUUCUUUAAAUUAUUCAGCGAAUGUUGGUGUGAGGUAAAAUUAUUAUGGUGGAAAAAUGUAAUUUUAAAUGCA